AUGCCUCCUCUCCACAAGCUUCAUCGAAGAACCAAGCGGGGACCCCUCAUCUACGUCGUCUACCCCAGGCAGGGGAGCAUCAAUCCUCCUCGCGAGCAGCUCUGCCUUUCCCUGGAUAGCGCUGACUCCUCUAUUUCUUGCUGCAACCGCGAGAAUUUGACAGGGUUACUAAAAUGCGGUCUCUACCUUGUGUUGGACAAACUUGAACUCCAGUUCUACCGGAGAUUAGUGAAGAAAAUCCAUAUCAUCCAGAGGGAGAGGGAACCAUCUAAGGCGCAUCAAAUCAAGAUAGAGUUCUCUGCAACCAUUUUAGUCGAGUAG
rnacentral:rRNA from 1 species